rnacentral:rRNA from 1 species
CCUUGUACACACCGCCCGUCACACCAUGGGAGCCGACUCAACCAGAAGACGGUCAGCCUAACCGCAAGGGAGGCGCCGGCGAAGGUGGGGUUGGUGACUGGGGUG